CAACAGCCAGCUUCUGUAUACGGAGUUUUUUCCCUUAAUAUUUCUUUGAGAAUGCGAAAAGGUUGGUGUGGUAGAUGCGUAGAAGUGCCAUGGUACGAAAACCAGAUGAAGGGUGUUUUCAGAUCAUUUGACACCAACGGAGAUGGCAAGCUCAGUCGGAAGGAAUUAAAGGUUGGACACCCUGUUGAAGACCACUGAACUAUCUAUGCCAAUCUUACUCGUUGAUGUGCAACUAAUUAAGGAAUUCUCAUGCAAGUUUUUGUUUUCCAGUUAAA